GGGGGGUUAUGAGGGAAGCAAUUAAGAGGCUGUCUGGCUUGUUUUGUCACCGUGGAUCUCUGAUACUUGUUGGCUUUACAGUUGCUUUGUCUUCCUAGGUAUGUUUUGUUCUCGGGUCGCUUCUUUGUGCUUAUAGUCAAAGGUUUUGUUGAGUUUGUUGAUUUAUACAAAUGCCCACAGAUGUAAGUUUUUGAAAGGUACAUAAGUUAAACAGUAUCGCUUUGCUUUUUUAGCAAAGCAUUUAUCAUUCAUUCAGUGAGCUCGUAUCUUUUGGUGACCAUUCUGCAAGUAGAAAGACUGUGCGAGGAUUGAUUUCUGUAAGGGAAAGAAGUUAUGAUUGUGUUAUUACAAUCUAAGUUGCAGACUUGCAUAUCUUGUACCUCAUGUAGUUCAAAAUGAUAGUUAUCAGAACCUCGGAGCUUAGAUAUUAUAAGGUUUUGUUUUCUUGAUGGAGAACUUGUUACGGGUUUUAAGGCUAUUGCAGACUGGCAUAUCUUAUGACUAGAGGAGUAUCAUUCUUUACCAUUGGUGACAUUGCUAAUAAUAUAUCCUAACUUUGUUAUGUUUAAUAGUAAAUUGAAUAAUUAUAUAUCCUAACUCUGGUAUGUUCAUGUUUGCUUGAAGCCCACAAGAAAUCCAGUUUUUUGGGUGUCAAAGAGUUGCCUGGAAAGCAACACCUGAUAGCCUCAAAGAGAAAAUUUCCUGUUUAAAGUGAUCAAAUGAUCAUUCCACGUACCUGAUGUUGACUUUAUCACACAUAGGAAACCCGCUGUUGAGGCUGGAAUGACCAGAAAAAGAGAGAACACUUUGUUAGCUUGGUCAUGCAUCUGGGAAAAUAUCUAAGAGCACUUGAAGUACAUGACAAAGUCAACAAGGUGUUUUGGAGCUGAAUUAAGGUAUCUCAAGAUUUUGGCUUCUGUGAUGGAUUGUUCUGAGGCUAUUGCAGAGUUGCAUAUAUUAUGCCUAAUGCAGUAUGAAUCUUCACCAUCGGUGACAUAAUCGGAAAGUAAGAUAAUAUCCUCACUUGUUUUUUAGCUUUUGGUCUAUUUUCCUUGAGGUUUGGGUGCCUCUUGGCCAUUGUGUUUUUCUUACAUUUUGAAAAAACAAGAUCGUAUUUGGUUGUGAGAGAAGAGUAGUUUUGCCUUGUGAGCUGUAGGCUUUAGUAUGCUUAAAAACAAGCAUCUUCAGUUGUUGUAUAAGAUCUGUUCAGUUUGUAUAUGAGUAAAUCUUAUAGAAGUAUACAAGUGUGGAUGAUUCUUUGUUUCUAGGUACUAGCUAACUAACUUUGUGCUAAUACUUGACAAUGAUUUGUUUAUUAUGGCUGGUGCUCAGUUUUAAUUCAUUGCCACUGAAAUAUUUUCUGCAUUCACCUGCUUUUGCUGUGCUCUGAUUUUACUUGUUGCUUAUGUCUAAUUGCAGAUUUUAUUUAUUUUCUAAACUCUGGAAAACUUUCCUAUUUGAAUGAUCAUCCCACACGUGUAAUGUUGACUCUAUCUAACUAUUUAGCAUAGUAAAUCCACAGUUGGGGAAGAAAUUACCAUCUGAAAAGUAGAGGUAUGCAAGAUUACAAAGCCUUCUUUUCCCGUCUUGCUGACUAAGAAGUGCAGUAUCUGACAUAUCAGUUUAAGUCUAGAUUUGGUUUUGUAAUGCAAUCUUGGGGUUAUGCAGUUAAAAUCUUGAAACUUACACUGCCACUUCUGAUAUAAUCUUUCUCAUUUCACAAGUUGGUGUGCUAUGUGUGUAUAGACAGUAUAGUGUAUUUUGCCAUGUUAGUUAUUGGCAGGAUCAUGGGAUGCUUUAUGAGAUUACCUAAGUUCGAGUCCUCCCCCACAAUUUUCAGUAUGACGCUGUCACUUUUAAGUUUAAAAUGAGAAGUGGUAUCUCUUGUGCAAGCUGGACUUGCAUUAUGAGAUAACUGAUCCAAGUACGUUUGGUUUAUUCAAGGUUCUUUUUAAACAUCAUGUCUAUAGCUGUGGAGUUGCAUAGUAUUAAUCUUACCAACGGCAGAUUAGAAAGUCUCAGAAUAUAUUCCUUUCUAAAGGGAUGUCAUAAUUUUCCUCCUUAUUCCUUACAUUUUCCUUUUAAAUUGCGUUCUCCAUUAGAAAAUGUUUUUGUCUAAUCGAACAAAGUCUUACUUAAGAGAGAGAAUAAAUGAGAAGGGAGGAGCCUGUAUCUAAUUAGAUUGGCUGUCUUUUCCUAUUUUUCUUAUGAAGACUGCUUUUUGUUAGAAUGGACCAUGGUGAUUUGAUUUCCUGUACCUCCAUGGUUUACCAAUAAUCAGUCUCAAAUUGUUUACCCUCAUUUUUGCACGGCCAUCUAUAUUCCCACCAUCCCCCUGUUUUAUCUAGUGUUAAACUCUAUGUUACUCCAACCCCUUCAUUUACCUCAAAAACCGGGUGUCGUGUCAGACACGACACUUCACUUGUAUACUUCAUUGUAAACUAAAAACUUAUCUUUUUUCUACAAAAUAGCCGAGUCGGACACUUUGGACACCCUUAUACGAGUAGACCCUAAAUUCGUGUCUGAGUAACAUAGGUUAAACUUAGUGUAUGUGCUAUGAGUUCUCUUAUUUAGAGUGGUGUUUUGUUUGAAAGUGCAUCUAGCCCAUGUUGGUGUAGCAUGCCGGAAGACAUCGAAUGUUUGGCGAGCCUGUGUUUGCAGGGACUUGUCUGUUUCUGUGAUUCUUUGCUACAACUCCCACAUUGAAGAUUUCAGAAACUAUUUCUUGGUUUAUUAAUCAGAGGCUGCAGAAUAAAAUUGUCUCUUCGGAGACAUCUGAUAAAAUUGGAACGAUACAGAGAAGAUUAGCAUGGCCCCUGCGCAAGGAUGACACGCACAAAUCGAGAAAUGGUCCAAAUUUUUUUGGCCUUUUUUGCCCCUUUCUGCAGGUUUUCUUUUUAUCCCUCUUCAAUCUGUUUUUCUUUUUGAAUAUGGGGGAUAUUGAACUCAGGAGAGACUGUUAUUCAGCCUUUAAUGUGAAGAUGGCACACACAAAUCGAGAAAUAGUACUAUAGCCUUUUAGCUUUUUACGUUGCCUCCUUCAGUAUAAGAUGAGACCACAUAAAAAAAAUAGUAUUGGAUAGCACUGGUGAUAUACUAGGGGUGUGUUUGGCAAUGGUAGUUGAGGUUGCAGUAGCUCUAAGAGUGGUUGUUAGUUGUGCUAGAAGGUAUUAGUGGUUAGUGUGUAGCGGUUGGGGUAUAAUAAUGGUGUUCGUUAAACCAAGUUGUUAGAGUAGUUGUUUACAUUUAUUAGUCAAUAACUCAAACAUAACUUUAAUGUAAAAUUUAUAUGCCAUCCACUGUCCCAAAAGCUAUACGUUUUGACUCACUACUCGAACACUACUUCUACUACUAAAAGCUAUCCACACUGCAACCUGACCAAGCACUCCUAUUUUUUCUUUUAAUCUAAAACUUAUGAGACUUUUAGUGAUUAAUGUGGUUGAUAUAUUUUCUCCCUUGCGUUUCUGCUUCUGCGUUGCUCUAGAAUUUACCUUCUGGUAGUUUUUAUUUUGCAUAAUAUGAUGUUCUCCAUAAAUGCUAUGGGAGCUAUCACAUCAAACAUGAACUAUGUUCCACAUUAGAGGGAACAGGUAAGACCGAAUGACCAGAGGGGGGAGGAAGAUGAAAAAAAAAACAGACGUAAAGGUAAGCAAACCAUACUUUCUCGGUCUUUUGGCUAAGAUCAAGUUUAGUUUUGUUUUACCUAUAUGAGCCACGAAGGCCGUAUAAAGAAGGGGAGGGGAGAUUCGAACCUGUGACAUAUCGUUAACAACACCUCAAACCUAACCACUAGGCCAAGACAUCCUUGGUAAGAUGAAGUUUAGUGCCUAAGCUAUGGAACCAUAACAUUAAGCCGGUAACUCGCGGCUGGGAUCAUCGAGUGUCGCCCAUUUAUUGGGCUGCUGCACGGACCUGGCACGCCCCACUAAUACACUGCUCCAAAUCUGGCUGUUCAAUGUGAUGGAAGGAUCCAGAGAAUUGAGAUGCUUAAAAGCUUAGAGUUUAUCACACUUUGUGCAAGGAUGGCAUACAGAGACCGAAGUUGAAGAUAUAUGCAGUCUUUUUCAGUCACUGAGUUAUUGUUCCAUAUUGCAAAAAAAAUUCAAUACUAGUGAUAAUGGAAGUUCCAUAAAAGAACUCCCUACAAAAAUAAACGUAUGCCACUAUAUGCAGCGAGCACACGGUAUUCUUUAGUAAAAGGCGAAAGAAUAGUUCGCUCUGUGCUCACUGCAUGGCUGCGUGCUUUUUCAUUGAACCAGCUCUUCAGUUUUAUUACUCAUCAUGCUUAGUGGGAUAAUUUCUUCUUCUAAUGUGGGACAAUCCUAUCAUUCCAUUAUUCCAUAUUGUACUUAUCUUUGGUAUUAAAAUACACCACCAUUAU